GAACAUUUCUAUCUUUUCAUUCUUCAGUUGGAGGUGAGGGAGGGUUGGGAAGCCACUGUGUCCACCUUCAUUGUCCCUUCAGGGAGCCCAGCAGGAGGCUCUGCUCUCCAGAGUCAGCAGAAAUGGCAUGCAUCUGCAACACUGAGCCAGGAGAUGGAGACACUAAUUCAGUGUGCUAGCUAGCUGGUGGCCUUAGGUGGCUCCUGUUGUGCUGAGACAGAGCAGAAACAGAUGCCGAUUAAGGUCCUUGCAGGUGCAAAGGAGGACUGACUGCAAGCCAGAACUUCUGAAGCUGGUUUGUUAAUUUAAAAAACAAACAAAAAACAGACAAACAAACAAAAACACCAGGCUUCACUUUGAAGUAUUUGUGUUUUCUGAG
ensembl:lncRNA